rnacentral:tRNA from 1 species
GGGGCGUUAGCUCAGUGGUAGAGCAGUUGGCUUUUAACCAAUUGGUCGAAGGUUCAAAUCCUUCACGCCCCACCA